AUGCUAGUUGAGGUGCAUACAAAACCUGCAAAGAAAUCUAUCACAAAGAGAGCUAACAAGCCUACUAAGGAACCAACUGCUAAGAAACCUAAGAAGGCACUUGUUGAGAAGGCACCUAAAAUCCUAAAAUCGGCUAUGGAUGAUGUACUAUGUAGUGCUACAUCAUCUGUGGUUGUGGACAAUGCCAAUGAAAGAAAUUGA
rnacentral:rRNA from 1 species